GUUUAAGCAAAUUUUAUUUUAUAAAAAUUUACAAAAACACUGUGAAGAACUUUUGUCUUCAUGACUAGUACAGUGGUCAAUGGGACCUGAAUUCAUUCCUGAGCAUGCUAAUAUUUCCAAUAAGCAAAGACACUCUUCUGAGUACCCAUCAAAAUCCAGAAAUUCACACGAUACUUUGUGACCAUCUAAUCACAACACACUUGAGAUUCACCCAUUGUCUUAAUGUCUUUACAGCUAGUGGAUCUUGACCCACUUUUCAUGUCUCAUCUUUUCCCUUUUCUUUGAUUUGAACACUGUGGAUUUGUGUGGCUUUCCUUUUGAGAUUCACUUACUCAUUUGAAAGGCAGGGUUACAGAGAGAGAAAGAUGUGGAGAGCAAGAUCCCACAUCCAGGAGUCUGACCCCAAGCAACCACAUGGUCAAGGCAGGGCCAGGGCGAAGCCAGGAGCCUGAAACUUUCUCUAGAUCUCCGACAUGGACAGUCGUGCCUUCUGUCACUGCUUCCCCAGGUUGACUGGAAGUGGAAUGGCUUGAGCACAAACUGGCACCAUAGAACAUGCUAGAGCCAUUAGUGCUGGCUGCCUUAACCCACUUCAUCACAACACUGGCCUAGCCUUGACAUUUUUGAAGACCGUAACACAAUGAUUUUGUAGAAUGUGCCUCAGUUGUGGUUUAUCAGUUGAUUCCUGGUGAUCCAAAUCAACUUACCAAUCUUUCAUAGGAGGGGAAUUCUGUGUGUUCUUGGGGCAUCUGUCUUUUUUUUUCUGUUGCUGUAAAAUAAUAUAUGAGAUUUGGCAAAUAGAAAGGCAAAGAGGUCUAUUUGGCUCUGAUUCUGGAUGUUAAGACAUUCAAGCUCAGAUGGCUACCCCCAAUGAGGGAUUCCUGCUGGUGGAGACUCUACAAAGUCCUAAAACAGUGCAUGGCAUUAUUUGGUGAGAUAAAGUGUUAGCCUUUAAUACGUGAAUACAAGAAUAAGUUAGUCCUUUCAUGAGGGUAACAUGACCUAAUUACCUCUUAAAGACCCCAGCAGACCGAACCUCCUAAUAAUUCACAAAGAGUUCAAUUUCUGUAUGGGUUCUGAUGGGGAUACUCAAAGCAUAGCAGCAUCCGACCUCUAUUUACUGAUGUCAUUGUCAACACAACAUUAAGGUAAUGUCACAGGUGGGGUGUCAGAGAGAGUGAACUUGAAAAUUGGCAUGCAAGAUUUGACUAGGGAAUUAUGUUGAGAACAGUUCUAUAAGAAAGGAGCAGAACUGGACAGAGGGAGAAACCUAGCAGCAUGAUUUCCCAACAAAAGGUGGACCCCCAGAGCUGGCAGGUCGGGACGCUCUAAGCUUCGAGUGGACCCCCAGAGCUGGCAGGUCGGGACGCUCUCUGAGUUGGGGAUGGGUGAAGGAGCUUUUACUCCCGUAUUGACCAGUCGCUGGAUGUGAGCUGCCCUGUGGCAGCUAACCCUGCCUGAGGCCUUUUGCUGCAGUUCAAGCCAAUUCCCAAUUCUGCCACCACACCCAGCAGCAUCAGAUAAAUGUGUUGGCUCUAACGGGAUUCUGAGCAUCAUAUCACACAUGCUUAGGAGGUGUCCAGUGGGAUGUUCCAGUGCAAGGUUGCUCUGCAUUCUCUCUGCAGGAAAGGACACAGUGAGAGAGGACACAGUACAAGCUCCUGAUUUUCCCUUAAUUAAAUGGUCAACAUAAACUUGUUACUCUCAUUAAUUAAGUUGCUAUUCCAACAGUCUUGGACCCACAAGUUGGAAAGUGCUUCUUUGCCCCACCUGUCCUGGUCCAUAAUGCCUUACUUCCAAUCAUAAGGUGACCCAGGUUCAGUACUGAAAUGCCGUGCUCCACUGAAAUGCCUCCUGUUAAACGCAGUGGUAUUUAAAAAGCCAAAUCUAGUUGUGCUGUGUUCUUUGACCUUCGAAUAUUUGUUGGUUAACCUAGGUUUACCUCACUGACCUCUGUUCUCACCAUGUUAUGCCUCUGAUGACGCCGACCAGAACUCUAUCCUACAUAACAGUUUGCAUCCUUGAGGCUUCUUGUUCCGCCUGUGGAGAGACACGGGGAUGUGCAUACAGCCCAUAGCAUCAACUCAUUUUGACCAAGUAUUUGCAAUGGGCCUUCAAUGUGCUUUGUGUUCUUGCUAGUUUUCUGUUGUUGCUGCUGCAAUAAAUUGUCAGAAUUCCAGUGGUU